rnacentral:rRNA from 1 species
UACGUAGGGUGCGAGCGAUAAUCGGAUUUACUGGGCGUAAAGGGCGCGUAGGCGGCCAGGUGUAUCGAGGGUGAAAUCCCACGGCUCAACCGUGGGAAGUCUCUUGAGAUUACCUGGCUAGAGGGUAGAAGAGGGAGAUGGAAUUCCCGGUGUAGCGGUGAAAUGCGUAGAUAUCGGGAAGAACGCCGGUGGUGAAGACGGUCUCCUGGGCUACACCUGACGCUGAGGCGCGAAAGCUAGGGGAGCGAACGGG